AGACACUUCAGAGUGUGAC
rnacentral:piRNA from 1 species